rnacentral:rRNA from 1 species
CCUACGGGGUGCAGCAGUGAGGAAUAUUGGUCAAUGGACGCAAGUCUGAACCAGCCAUGCCGCGUGCAGGAUGACGGCUCUAUGAGUUGUAAACUGCUUUUGUACGAGGGUAAACCCCGAUACGUGUCUCGGGUUGAAAGUAUCGUACGAAUAAGCAUCGGCUAACUCCGUGCCAGCAGCCGCGGUAAUACGGAGGAUCCGAGCGUUAUCCGGAUUUAUUGGGUUUAAAGGGUGCGUAGGCGGGUUGGUAAGUUAGCGGUGAAAUGCCGGGGCUCAACCCCGGAACUGCCUCUAAUACUGGUGGACUAGAGAAGAGUUGCGGUAGGCGGAAUGUAUGGUGUAGCGGUGAAA